rnacentral:lncRNA from 1 species
CGGCACUCCCAGUACACUACCGAUGAGCCCGAAACUUUUCCGGUAAUGCACGAAAACCUUCCGGUAACCAAAUGAGGUCAUCCUAUAUAUCAAUCUUCGUUUCCGGACCAUUCCGGAAACCCUCGUGACGUCCGUGAUCUCAUCCGGGACUCCGAAUAACAUUCAGUAACCAACCAUAUAACUCAAAUACGCAUAAAACAACGUCGAACCUUAAGUGUGCAGACCCUGCGGGUUCGAGAACUAUGUAGACAUGACUCAAAAGACUCCUCG